GCGGUCUUUCAAGUCCGAUGCUAAAGACUGGGGCUCAACCCCAGGGGUGCGUUGGAUACUGUGAGGCUAGACGGUCGGAGGGGGUAGCGGAAUUUCCGGAGUAGCGGUGAAAUGCGCAGAUACCGGAAGGAACGCCAAUAGCGAAGGCAGCUACCUGGACGACUUGUGACGCUGAGGCGCGAAAGCGUGGGGAGCAAACCGGAUUAGAUACCCGGGUAGUCCACGCCCUAAACCAUGAGUGCUGGGUGUCCGGCUUCUGCUGGGUGCCGUAGCUAACGCGCUAAGCACUCCGCCUGGGAAGUACGCACGCAAGUGUGAAACUCAAAGGAAUUGACGGGGGCCCGCACAAGCGGUGGAGCAUGUGGUUUAAUUCGAAGCGACGCGAAGAACCUUACCAGGCCUUGACAUGCCCGGAACCCCUCUGAAAGGAGGGGGUGCCCGCAAGGGAGCCGGGACACAGGUGCUGCAUGGCCGUCGUCAGCUCGUGUCGUGAGAUGUUGGGUUAAGUCCCGCAACGAGCGCAACCCCUAUCCCUAGUUGCCAGCAGUUCGGCUGGGCACUCUAUGGAGACUGCCUGCGAAAGCAGGAGGAAGGCGGGGAUGACGUCUGGUCCGCAUGGCCCUUACGGCCUGGGCGACACACGUGCUACAAUGCCAAGGACAGAGCGCUGCUACCUCGCGAGAGGACGCCAAUCGCAAAAACCUUGGCUCAGUUCGGAUUGGAGUCUGCAACUCGACUC
rnacentral:rRNA from 1 species